AGUAACGCGUGGGUAACCGUGCCUCAUACAGGGGGAUAACAGUUAGAAAUAGACUGCUAAUACCGCAUAAGCGCACAGUGCUGCAUGGCACAGUGUGAAAAACUCCGGUGGUAUGAGAUGGACCCGCGUCUGAUUAGCUAGUUGGUGGGGUAACGGCCUACCAAGGCGACGAUCAGUAGCCGGCCUGAGAGGGUGAACGGCCACAUUGGGACUGAGACACGGCCCAA
rnacentral:rRNA from 1 species